GACGGAGGAUGCAAGCGUUAUCCGGAAUGAUUGGGCGUAAAGCGUCCGCAGGUGGCAGUUCAAGUCUGCUGUCAAAGACCGGGGCUUAACUUCGGAAAGGCAGUGGAAACUGAACAGCUAGAGUAUGGUAGGGGCAGAGGGAAUUCCUGGUGUAGCGGUGAAAUGCGCAGAUAUCAGGAGGAACACCGGUGGCGAAGGCGGGUCUCUGGGCCGUAAGCUGACGCUGAGGAGCGAAAGCGUGGGGAGCGAACAGG
rnacentral:rRNA from 1 species